rnacentral:rRNA from 1 species
GACGAACGCUGGCGGCGUGCCUAAUACAUGCAAGUCGAGCGAGACUCUUCGGAGUCUAGCGGCGGACGGGUGAGUAACACGUGGGCAACCUGCCUGUAAGACUGGGAUAACACCGGGAAACCGGUGCUAAUACCGGAUAAUCCUUUUCCUCUCCUGAGGAAAAGCUGAAAGACGGUUUCGGCUGUCACUUACAGAUGGGCCCGGGGCGCAUUAGCGAGUUGGUGAGGUAACGGCUCACCAAGGCGACGAUGCGUAGCCGACCUGAGAGGGUGAUCGGCCACACUGGGACUGAGACACGGCCCAGACUCCUACGGGAGGCAGCAGUAGGGAAUCUUCCACAAUGGACGAAAGUCUGAUGGAGCAACGCCGCGUGAGCGAUGAAGGCCUUCGGGUCGUAAAGCUCUGUUGUUAGGGAAGAACAAGUACCGGAGUAACUGCCGGUACCUUGACGGUACCUAACCAGAAAGCCACGGCUAACUACGUGCCAGCAGCCGCCGUAAAAC